AGCGGACGCUGGCGGCAGGCCUAACACAUGCAAGUCGAACGGAUCCUUCGGGAUUAGUGGCGGACGGGUGAGUAACACGUGGGAACGUGCCUUUUGGUUCGGAACAACUCAGGGAAACUUGAGCUAAUACCGAAUGUGCCCUUCGGGGGAAAGAUUUAUCGCCAUUAGAGCGGCCCGCGUCUGAUUAGCUAGUUGGUGGGGUAAAGGCUCACCAAGGCUACGAUCAGUAGCUGGUCUGAGAGGAUGAUCAGCCACAUUGGGACUGAGACACGGCCCAAACUCCUACGGGAGGCAGCAGUGGGGAAUCUUGCGCAAUGGGCGAAAGCCUGACGCAGCCAUGCCGCGUGAAUGAUGAAGGUCUUAGGAUUGUAAAAUUCUUUCACCGGGGACGAUAAUGACGGUACCCGGAGAAGAAAGCCCCGGCUAAACUUCGUGCCAGCAGCCGCGGUAAUAGUCAACGUCG
rnacentral:rRNA from 1 species